rnacentral:lncRNA from 1 species
AUAUGUCCUGUGAGCUUAGGGGUGCUACAGGUUGACCACUGCAGCAGUAAAGAUGACUCUGAAGAAUGGCAUGGGAUGGAUCCUUUCGAAUGCACUUGAGCAGCGGUCUCCAACCACAGGGCCACAGAGCUGGAGAUGGACAGUCUAGUUGCAGGAAAACAAGCUCAGAGAUCCCACUGAGUCUACGUUAUACUGGAUCUACCAUGAACGACUUCUGAAUCCAGGAAGAGAGACUGACUGGGCAACAUGUUAUUCAGGCUGAAGCGAUCCUCCCAUCUCAA